rnacentral:lncRNA from 1 species
UUACAGGUCAUUGGAGAGCACAUACACAGAGAAAAUGGGACCAAGUUGACCUUCUCCAGCAACUUGAGCAGGUUUUAUGUUUUCUUAUUUCACUUGGAAAAAAAAGCAUGAGAAAUUAUUAAUCCAGCUCUGUGCAUGAAAAGAAAAUGAAAGUAUAUGAAGAGUUUGUACAGGUCAAAGUUUAAAUUUUUUUAAGUUUUGCAAAACCUCAGGGUAAUACUAAACGAGGAUUUGCUUCCUCUACCGGAGCAUGCUGUACAUGUCCUCAAAGCUUUUCUUGCAUUCUUCUGUUGUGGAACCCUACCAGCUUUCCUUAGCCUUCUGCUUAAGAAAGUGUCGGUUGGGUUUUGUACUCAGCUAUUUGUAAUUAUGGGUGUGACUCAUGAAAUGUAAAAGCACUUUUAAGAUUAGUGUAAGAAUAGACGCACUGUAUAUCUGAAUAGUAGAAUCAAUCCACUUCUGCAUUAGUGCUAGGAAUACCCACCACACCUAUUUAAAAGAAAAUCCUCAAAAGAUAGUUUUUAUAUGACAGCAUAAUUGAAAGAUGCAUUCUGUAAUUCUGAUUAGUGCUGUAAGUGGUGCUUCAUGAUGAGAGACUGUGAAUCCAGGCUAGGGAAAAUUGAUUGUUUAAAACCCAUUUGAGUGUAAGCUUUAAUUUAGGAUUCUGAAGGCUGUAGCCCUUUUUUGGCAUAGAACGUAAACUGGGACAAGAGGUGGUUCUGCCUGGAUGCCUUGCAUUCUGCCCUGAAAAGACAGCUUUUAUAUGUAACGCCAUAGAUGAUAAAAGGUGAAAACAGUGCUAUAUAUCAUAUUCACAAUGAAAAGUAUAAUCUUUAUUUUGCUGCAAUACUAGGAGAUAGCUGCAGCUAUCUCCUAUUCACUUCCACAGCUUCAAAAUAUGGAAGAAGAUGAAUUUGCUGUGUUGAACAUCUUUGUCUCAUGCUUUGGAGGCUGAUUUUGUACCUGAAAGCUGAUGAACAAGACACGCUCGGGUUUUUCCCUGAAGCAGGCUGUGCUCUGAGCAUAAGGCUGGGUGUGCUCUCUUCAGGGCACUGUGCACCUGCGUUUUGUUGGAGCACAGAAUUCAAGAGCUUUCCAAACCUGCCAGUCUUUGAUACAGUAAGUUGUGACUGCAAAUAAUGGAACUGCUGUAGAAAACUGUCGCCUCCCUCCUUUAUUAGACAAAACACCAAAGUAGAGUUUGUUAAAGGAAAUUAUAAAUUACAAAGGCAAGCACUUGCUAAAGGAUUCUGUCUCUGGGCACCUGUUUUGUGCAGUUUGGGUGACUGUAUUAACAGUUCAGAUGCCUUAGAUGCCUGAAAUUAGGUAGGAUGACUAGGGGUCUAAACCAGUUUCAGCCAAUUACCUGAUUUGCUAUGGCUUCUGCAGAUAAUAGACUUAAAAAUAACUGUAACAAAGAUAGAGGCUCCAACAAAUAAGCCAGCAUUUAAGGUUUAUGUCAAAUAAAGAGUCACUACCAUUUUCCCUGCA